AUUGAACGCUGGCGGCAGGCCUAACACAUGCAAGUCGAGCGGAUGAAGGGAGCUUGCUCCUGGAUUCAGCGGCGGACGGGUGAGUAAUGCCUAGGAAUCUGCCUGGUAGUGGGGGAUAACGUCCGGAAACGGGCGCUAAUACCGCAUACGUCCUGAGGGAGAAAGUGGGGGAUCUUCGGACCUCACGCUAUCAGAUGAGCCUAGGUCGGAUUAGCUAGUUGGUGGGUAAAGGCCUACCAAGGCGACGAUCCGUAACUGGUCUGAGAGGAUGAUCAGUCGCACUGGAACUGAGACACGGUCCAGACUCCUACGGGAGGCAGCAGUGGGGAAUAUUGGACAAUGGGCGAAAGCCUGAUCCAGCCAUGCCGCGUGUGUGAAGAAGGUCUUCGGAUUGUAAAGCACUUUAAGUUGGGAGGAAGGGCAGUAAGUUAAUACCUUGCUGUUUUGACGUUACCAACAGAAUAAGCACCGGCUAACUUCGUG
rnacentral:rRNA from 1 species